GCCGUGCGCUUGCCGAAUCCCGUCCGCGGGAACCGGGGAACCACUUCCUGGGGUGAAUCGGGGGCCGUUCGCGGUCCUCGUAGGAGACCUUCCUGCUCCGAACCCGUCAGCUAACCCGGUAGGCGAGAAGGAAGGAAAGG
rnacentral:sRNA from 2 species